AUUAACUCAACAAAUCAGAAAAGUAGUUAUUUUUGAUCUUCAGGGAGCCUGUGGUUACUGUGAACAGGUGGUUGGAACUAGUGAAAUUGGGCUGAUUUGAAAAAAUGAAUUUGAAACAAUGAAAAUUCGGUGCGCACACCUUACAGUGCAACUUGUUGAUAGACAAGGCAGAGAUGUAAAGGGAAUAUUCUCUUUACAAUUGAGGUGGUACCGCGUUACGAACGCCCUCACA
rfam:Peptoniphilus lacrimalis DNF00528 contig126, whole genome shotgun sequence.